rnacentral:rRNA from 1 species
GAGGAAUAUUGGUCAAUGGGCGCGAGCCUGAACCAGCCAAGUAGCGUGAAGGAUGACUGCCCUAUGGGUUGUAAACUUCUUUUAUAAGGGAAUAAAGUGAGGCACGUGUGCCUUAUUGUAUGUACCUUAGGAAUAAGCAUCGGCUAACUCCGUGCCAGCAGCCGCGGUAAUACGGAGGAUGCAAGCGUUAUCCGGAUUUAUUGGGUUUAAAGGGAGCGUAGAUGGAUGUUUAAGUCAGUUGUGAAAGUUUGCGGCUCAACCGUAAAAUUGCAGUUGAUACUGGAUAUCUUGAGUGCAGUUGAGGCAGGCGGAAUUCGUGGUGUAGCGGUGACAUGCAUAGAUAUAACGAGGAACUCCGAUUGCGUAGGCAGCUUACUAAGCCAUAACUGACGCUCAUGCACGAAAGCGUGGGGAUCAAACA